rnacentral:lncRNA from 1 species
CCAGCUCGUUUGCUCUUCAAGAAACCAUUAACCUCUUUACCCUGCCUAAGAUCGAAAUUAACCAUGAACUGAGCUCACAUGAACCCAGACCUAUAUAUGGAAAAGAUAAAGGCUGUCACACUUUGCAAAUUGAUCCUAUGAUGCAGAUGAAUUUAAAUGUUCACAAACUGAGCUCAGAUAUGAAAUAAAGGUAUGUUGGCCCAGCUCCUCUCACGCACAGAAGACACCCACAUGAUGUUCUUAUCACUGAAUGGAAGCACACGCAC